AUAAUUAUUUUGAAUGACAAUUAUUUUUUUACCCAUUUUUGAAGUGGGUUUGAGUCCUUUAACCCAUUUUUGAAAUGAAUUUGGGUUAUUGGUUAAUUUAAUGUUUACCUAGUACUAAUAUUUUAUUUGGACUAAAUUGAUAAAAGGUCCAAAUUACACUUUGAAUUGUUGACAAUCAUCAAAGUAUCAUUUUGACCCAUUGAUGGAUUAAAUGAUGAUGAUGAUUAUUUUCAUCAUAAAAUUUUUCAUGUCUACAAAUGCCCCCACUUCAUGUCUCGGAUUCAUAUUGGUUGCCAACCAUCGAGGAGGAGGUUGGAAGUUUCGUUGAUUUUUUCUUACAUGUAAUUUUUUUUUAUUUUAUAAAGCAUUGUAUUGACUAGACUAAAGAAUCACUUGUAUUUGAUGAGGCCAUCCAAGGAGCAAAUAAACCUUUCUUUCACAAAAAGGAGACACUUUACUAAUUCCACUGGCAGUGCACAUGGAUGCAUGGACCAUAAAACAAAUAACUCAAAGUUAUUAUUUUUUUUAUCAACACAAAAAGAAGACCAAGCAUAUGUUUCUUUAUGAUUUGACUUUUACGGAACUCUCGCUUCACAUAUCUUACCUGUGAUUUGUUGAAUUUUGUUGUAGAACUUCAAAAAGAAUGAUAUCUCUAUAAGGUAAUGCUCCAUUAUCUCUCUUCAGCUAACAGUUAUCUUAAUUGGUUGACUAUUAACAAGCUGGCCUUAUCCAUAAGCACGCCUGUAAUUUCCCUGGCUAGAGUUUGAUUUAGCACCAAACACUAUAUAUAUAUAUAUAUAUAUAGGAUUAGAAGUUUCCAAACUCCGAGCUUAUUAGGCUUCGCUCUUCUAGAUAAAAGUUGUUACAUCAGUUUUUUCACCUUUUGAUGAGAUCAUUCAAAAUUGGGAUGACAAGAAUUUAUAAGUUUUGAAAUUCUUUGACUUACUGCUCAUUUUUUUUUAAAACAUAGGAGAUGUCCAGAUCUUGUUUGAUUCUUCUCUAUCUCUUUUUCCUUAUCUCUAACUCAAGAGAACGAGAAGACCCAAUUUGAAAAAGUCUUUAAAUACUCGUGGAAUUUGAAUGCCUAGCUGCAGAUCGUGCUUAUAAAUUCAGGUCUUUGUGGACUCUCCUAGUAUAAGCAAAAGUCGAACAACCAACGCUGCAAGGUGUGCGGUUUCGCGUCGAGGAGGAGGACCGCUCCAAGCAUUCGAAGAAACCAUGAUGAGAACACGAGCGCCCACGAUGAUAGAUUUUAGCUGAUUCGGGUAGGAGAACCGAUUCAAGAACUCGGCUAAUGAGCAGCCGGGCGACAAGUUGCAAGAUGGUGACUCCUAGUCAUCAUCUCCAACAAUUUUUUUUUUUUUUUUUUGGGGUACAGGACAAACAUGGAGGCUCCCAAACAAACUUCUCAAAUAUGCUACCUGUCUAACUGGGUGAAAUGCACUUCAUCAAACUGACACAAUUUAACCGCCGAAUUAGUGCAAGACUAACGCAGGUUUAUAAAAUACAAGGGAAAAAAAAAAACAACUUCAGGAAGAUUCCGCCGUCCUACCAAUAUUUUUGUCCCGAGCUCACAUUUUGGUGCUGAAGAAGUGGUUGCUCACAUUUUUGUGCUGAAGAAAUGGUUGAUAGCAUUAAUGCCCACUAAUUAGUAAUAGUUCCCAUUUUGGUGCUGGAGAAGUAGUUGACUGGAUAGGAUCGGUUUGGAGUUGACAUCCUGGGGUUGCAUCAACAAAGCUAUCGACUUCUUAACUCUAGUGCAUUAACCAUGGCGCGUUUUUAAAUGCUUCAAGAAGAGAACCCUAACCAUCAUUGAAAGGGAAGGUGACCCUCAAGAAAAAGGAACAACAUUAGAUGUGGGUACAACAUUUAUCGGCAAUUCCUCUCUGUAUUUGCCAAGGUCAUCGUCAGAUGCUCAAUAUUUCCUAUCCCAAUGGUCAAACAUGUCUUCAUGCAAGCUCACCAACCUCGGAUUUAAUGAGAAUAUAUCCAUGUCAGAGGCAUUGAUAUUGGAUUCAGCACUCCAUAAAAGGCCGAUAAACUAGAAUAAUUUGCACUUUUGGAACAUAAAGUGUAUGCUAAUGAGGUAGAGUGGAGUAAUGCUUUGAAAGUUUUAGCAGAGUUGUCAUAUACUAAAGGAUAUUUUGAGUGGACAGAUGACAUUCCGGGUCGCCACAACAAUUUCCUUAAAAAGGGGAUAACAUUAUUUGAUGCCAUAUUUGCCUCAUUGUUCUCAUAUGAUCGCCACCGACCCGUGCUCCAAGCUUUCCUUGAGUUUUGGUGCCCUUCGACCAAUACCCUCCAUUGUUCAGUUAGAGAACUUUCCAUUUCCCUUCGAGAUUUAUGUGUGUUGGCUGGUCUCCCUUUUGGUGGAAAUUUUUAUGAUGAGGUUGUCCUUGAUACAGUUGAACUAUCUACUGUAAGAGAAGAUGGAACUUUAUUACUUUUUUUCAGUUGCCAAUAUUUAUUCCUAGUCUUUCAUAAGCUCUGCAAAAAAUGUAAAGUGGACCGUGCAGUAAAAAUUUCUGAUUGGGUGGAUUAUUGGUUUAAAGGUACCAUAAGGCAUAAGAAGAUACCUUCGAGAAGGAUAGCGAGGAAUAAAAUGAUAAGCGUUGAAA